GGCUCUGUGGUGUCCCCCUGGUGUUGCCCAGCAUUGCCCCGCAGCCCUAUAGGGCCUGGCUGGGGGCCAGGAAAGGCGGCCCCACGGGAAGCGAUGUACUGCAGGAUCCCCGCCAGCUUUCCCACCCUCUCCCAGCUGUUGCUCACGGAGCCAAAACCACCCCGAGGAUGCUGCUGCCGUUCCUUCCCCCUCCCCUUCUCCUUAAAAGCCGUCUGUGCCCUACGCCGCUGCCUGCAGCAUCCUCACCGGGCUCAGCUCCUCUUCCUCACUGCCUUCAUCCCAGAGCAGAGAGGGCUGUGGCAGAACUCCAGGGCAUUGCCAUCUGGAGAGGCUGAGACUGACUGGACACUGAUUUGUGCACCAGCCAUGGCGCUUUCCAAUUUAUCUGAUUACUCUGAUGACUCUGAUAUCUAUGACUACUUGGAUUACACCUAUGAAGAGCCAGGCAGCGUGUGGACAGGCCCAUCCUAUGACCCAAAGGACGUUGCGAGGAUCCUCUCAGUUGUGAUCUACAGUGUGUCCUGCGUGCUGGGCAUCCUGGGGAAUGGCCUUGUCAUAGCCAUCAUCACUCUGAAAAUGAAGAAGUCGGUCAAUGCCAUUUGGUUCCUCAACCUGGCCGUCGCCGACUUCCUCUUCAACAUCUUCCUACCCAUAAACAUUGCGUACACAGCCAUGCGCUACAACUGGAUCUUCGGGACCGUCAUGUGCAAGCUGAACUCCUUCCUCCUCAUCCUCAACAUGUACACCAGUGUUCUUCUGCUCACCACCAUCAGCUUUGAUCGCUAUGUGUCGGUAGUUUUUCCUGUCUGGUCUCAAAACCAUCGGUCGACCAACCUGGCAUGCAUGGUUUGCCUGAUCAUCUGGAUGGUUGGUAUCAUCAUGAGCUGCCCUUCUCUUGUCUUCCGAGAUACAGCACAAGCUCGCAACUCUAUCAUUUGUUUCAGCAACUUCUCCCUGUCCAGAAAUAGGUCUUACCAAUCAUUGGCACUAGUGAGACACCGAACAGUGAACAUCACCAGGCUCUUUGCUGGGUUCCUCCUGCCCAUCACCAUCAUCACCUUCUGCUAUGUUUCCAUUGCCUUCAACCUGCGUCGAAAUCGCCUCGCCAAGUCCAAGAAGCCCUUCAAGAUCAUUGUCACCAUCAUUGUCACCUUCUUCCUGUGCUGGAGCCCCUACCACCUGUUGAACAUCCUGGAAACUGAGCCUGACCUGGUCCCACGCUCUGUAUUUGAGAUUGGCAUCCCCAUCACCACGGCACUCGCUGCCUCCAACAGCUGCAUGAACCCCGUCCUCUAUGUCUUCAUGGGCCAGGACUUCAAGAAGUUCAAGGUGACCAUCCUUUCCAGGCUGGUGAAUGCACUCAGUGAGGAGACGGGCCACUCCAGCAUCGUGCACAGGAGCUUCUCCAAGAUGUCUUCAAUGACCGAAAAGGAGACAACUGUCCUCUAAGUCUGGAUGCUCAUGGGAUGGCCACAGUCCUCCGGGGCCACCCAUGUUCAGCACCAUGAUGGUGGAAUGGGCAUGGUCUCAUGCAAACAGUGCAUGCUCUGACUGAUUACACUGCCUAGGCAUGGAGACCUCUGUGUGGCCUGUGCUCCUUGGCUGGGGCCCACCUUUAUUUUCCAGAGACAUCUGCAACUUGGAGGAGAUGUAAGCAUCAGUUUCUGCUGCCUGGAGAUGCCCACAGAUGGACAACCUGUCCCAGCUGGAGGUGACAAGAGCUGGGUUGUGGGGUGCACUGUGAGGACAGCGUGUGCUGGACAGUCUUGUGACAAAGACAAACAAAAAAGCAAUAAGGGAAAGCAGUGCCUGCAGUUCCCAGGAGGAGGAGGAAGGGCCAUAUCCUCAUGGUUAGGGGGACACGUUGGGUGUCCCUGGGAAUCCCAGCACUUAUUCUGCUCACAGGUAUGCACAAAAACUGGGAUAUUAAUUAAAAACAAAAAUCAAAAAAGGGCAAGCACUUGGUACAGGAUGGGGGGAACACAGCCAUGUCCCCAUUCCUGCCCCCAGCAGGAACAGGAAUGCUCCCACUGUGUUUUUUGGUGGCUGGGUUUUGCAAGCCCAUCUGUUAUCCCUGCAAACAACUUUCCCAAACCUUGGUGACUUGGUACAUAACCUUGGGUUAAAUUAUCAUUACAGACAGCUUUGGAAACCUAAUAUUUGCAUUCAUCUUUGUAGAUGUUUGCCUAUUUAAUGCGAAACCUGUUUUACAUACAAAUACCCCUCUGUGUGUUGAAGCAGGGAAUGAGCGCAAGCAUUUCAGCAUCUUCCCAGAUCUUAUUAAUGAUUCUCAGUGCUAAAGUGGGGAAAAGACAGGGAAGCAGUAGGGUCAGACUGGAGUCACUUCAUGCCUUUGGGCUGUGACAGCCCUAGCAGCAUCCCAUUAUCAUUGUCACCUCUUUAAUUUGGUCACAGAGGACCCAAAUGGCUCUUUAGGAAAGGAAAAGAUAAAGCUGACUGAGUCCUCCCCCAUGCUUGUGUUAUCCCAACGUGUUUUCUGUCAGAUGGACUCCGACGAACGCUCUGUUCUGCUGAUUAAAAUAGGAGUCAUUAACGACAGCAGCAGGCUCAGUGGUGGACUGGGAGUGCUGAGCAUCCCACCCAACUCCCACUGCAGCUCUGUGUGUUGGGGACGGAAUCUGGCACACAUGCACUGGGUACAUUUAGGACUGAAGGUUUUAUGGCAGCACACUGCUGGACAGGAGAGAUCUAGGAACUGGGCCCCCAGACCUGGGACCCUCAUCACCAUUCCUGGACCACCCUAUACAUCCACUGAACCCACAAUCUCCCUUCCCUGGGGACACCCAUCUCCAUCCCUGUGUUGCCAGUUCCCUUCCCUGGGACCUUCAGUCAUCACCCCCAGGACCCCGGUGCUCCCUCCCCACUUUCUUACAUCUCUUCACAGCUUCAGGUCUGGGUUUCAUUUCACACAGCCAUUUGGGAAAUUACUGCAGAAUGUACCAAAAUCAUUUCUGUAGAACACAUUACCAUCCUUUAAUGACUGUUCUUUUUCAAUUAGCUGUCAGAGCCUUGAAAUAAAGCUGUGCUUUACUUCCCCA